UGAGGAAUAUUGGUCAAUGGGCGUAAGCCUGAACCAGCCAAGUCGCGUGAGGGAUGAAGGUUCUAUGGAUCGUAAACCUCUUUUAUAAAGGAAUAAAGUCGGGUAUGGAUACCCGUUUGCAUGUACUUUAUGAAUAAGGAUCGGCUAACUCCGUGCCAGCAGCCGCGGUAAUACGGAGGAUCCGAGCGUUAUCCGGAUUUAUUGGGUUUAAAGGGAGCGUAGAUGGAUGUUUAAGUCAGUUGUGAAAGUUUGCGGCUCAACCGUAAAAUUGCAGUUGAUACUGGAUAUCUUGAGUGCAGUUGAGGCAGGCGGAAUUCGUGGUGUAGCGGUGAAAUGCUUAGAUAUCACGAAGAACUCCGAUUGCGAAGGCAGCCUGCUAAGCUGCAACUGACAUUGAGGCUCGAAAGUGUGGGUAUCAAACAGG
rnacentral:rRNA from 1 species